AACAUCGCGCACCUGCGGGAACCUGCGGAGGGAUCAUUAACACAAACUGUGGUUGCAGAUGUGCACAUCGCCCUGCCCUGUGGCGGGGAUCAACGAUUGCUGCUGCUGCUCCACAUUUGGAUCCAUAUCCAUUUACCCCUGUGAACUGUUAAAGUCUUUCCAUAGUGAAAUUUAACACCUUGGAAUGUACUCUGACUGAACACGAGAGCCCCGGCGCGCGUUGCGUCUUAAUUGAUGCAU
rnacentral:misc_RNA from 1 species